AUUGAACGCUAGCGGGAUGCCUUACACAUGCAAGUCGAACGGGGUGGCGAACGGGUGGGUAAUGUAUCGGAACGUGCCCAGUCGCGGGGGAUAACUACGCGAAAGCGUAGCUAAUACCGCCUACUAUUGGAUCGGCCGAUGUCGGCUUAGCUAGUUGGUGGGGUAACGGCUCACCAAGGCGACGAUCCGUAGCUGGUUUGGGAGGCUGACCAGCCACACUGGGACGUAGACACGGCCCAGACUCCUACGGGAGGCAGCAGUGGGGAAUUUUGGACAAUGGGGGAAACCCUGAUCCAGCCAUCCCGCGUGGGCGAUGAAGGCCUGCGGGUUGUAAAGCACUUUUGGCAGGAAAGCGGUACCUGCAGAAUAAGCACCGGCUAACUACGUGCCAGCAGCCGCGGUAAUAC
rnacentral:rRNA from 1 species